rnacentral:rRNA from 1 species
AGGGUUUGAUCAUGGCUCAGAACGUACGCUGGCGGCACGCCUAACACAUGCAAGUCGAACGAAGUAGCAAUACUUAGUGGCAGACGGGUGAGUAACAUGUAGGUAUCUGCCCUUUGGCCUGGAAUAACACGAGGAAACUUGUGCUAAUACCGGAUAAGUCUUUACGGAGAAAGCUUUAUGCACCAUUGGAUGAGCCUGCACUUGAUUAGUUUGUUGGUGGGGUAAUGGCCUACCAAGACUGUGAUCAAUAGCUGAUUUGAGAGGAUGAUCAGCCACAUUGGGACUGAGACACGGCCCAAACUCCUACGGGAGGCAGCAGUGGGGAAUCUUGCACAAUGGAGGAAACUCUGAUGCAGCGAUGCCGCGUGAGUGAAGAAGGCCCUUGGGUUGUAAAGCUCUUUCGUCGGGGAAGAAAAUGACUGUACCCGAAUAAGAAGGUCCGGCUAACUUCGUGCCAGCAGCCGCGGUAAUACGAAGGGACCUAGCGUAGUUCGGAAUUACUGGGCUUAAAGAGUUCGUAGGUGGUUGAAAAAGUUAGUGGUGAAAUCCCAGAGCUUAACUCUGGAACUGCCAUUAAAACUUUUCAGCUAGAGUAUGAUAGAGGAAAGCAGAAUUUCUAGUGUAGAGGUGAAAUUCGUAGAUAUUAGAAAGAAUACCAAUUGCGAAGGCAGCUUUCUGGAUCAUUACUGACACUGAGGAACGAAAGCAUGGGUAGCGAAGAGGAUUAGAUACCCUCGUAGUCCAUGCCGUAAACGAUGUGUGUUAGACGUUGGAAAUUUAUUUUCAGUGUCGCAGGGAAACCGAUAAACACACCGCCUGGGGAGUACGACCGCAAGGUUAAAACUCAAAUGAAUUGACGGGGACCCGCACAAGUAGUGGAGCAUGUGGUUUAAUUCGAAGAUACGCGCAGAACCUUACCAACACUUGACAUGUUCGUCGCGACUCUAAGAGAUUAGAGUUUUCGGUUCGGCCGGACGAAACACAGGUGCUGCAUGGCUGUCGUCAGCUCGUGUCGUGAGAUGUUGGGUUAAGUCCCGCAACGAGCGCAACCCUCACUUUUAGUUGCCAUCAUUAAGUUGGGCACUCUGAAAGAACUGCCAGUGAUAAGCUGGAGGAAGGUGGGGAUGACGUCAAGUCCUCAUGGCCCUUACGUGUUGGGCUACACACGUGCUACAAUGGUAUCUACAACAGGAAGCAAGACUGCGAAGUUAAGCAAAUCCCUAAAAGAUACCUCAGUUCGGAUUGCACUCUGCAACUCGAGUGCAUGAAGCUGGAAUUACUAGUAAUCGUGGAUCAGCGUGCCACGGUGAAUGCGUUCCCGGGUCUUGUACACACCGCCCGUCACACCAUGGGAGUUGGUUCUACCUUAAGGCAAGGUUUUAAACCCUUGACCACGGUAUAGUCAGCGACUGGGGUGAAGUCGUAACAAGGUAGCCGUA